rnacentral:rRNA from 1 species
UACGUAGGGUGCGAGCGUUGUCCGGAAUUAUUGGGCGUAAAGGGCUCGUAGGCGGUUUGUCGCGUCGGGAGUGAAAUCCACUGGCUUAACUGGUGGCUUGCUUUCGAUACGGGCAGACUGGAGGUAUGCAGGGGAGAACGGAAUUCCUGGUGUAGCGGUGAAAUGCGCAGAUAUCAGGAGGAACACCGGUGGCGAAGGCGGUUCUCUGGGCAUGUCCUGACGCUGAGGAGCGAAAGUGUGGGGGGCGAACAGG